rnacentral:rRNA from 1 species
UACGUAGGGUGCAAGCGUUAUCCGGAAUUAUUGGGCGUAAAGAGCUCGUAGGCGGUUUGUCGCGUCUGCUGUGAAAACUGGGGGCUCAACCCCCAGCCUGCAGUGGGUACGGGCAGACUAGAGUGCGGUAGGGGAGAUUGGAAUUCCUGGUGUAGCGGUGGAAUGCGCAGAUAUCAGGAGGAACACCGAUGGCGAAGGCAGAUCUCUGGGCCGUAACUGACGCUGAGGAGCGAAAGCAUGGGGAGCGAACAGGA